UCCAUCGCGAGGUGGAAUCUGAAGGAAGCUGGAGGCAAAAUUCCGACCCGAGGAACACGAACGUCAUCAGGAGGAAACCGUGAGCAGAGACAACAUGAACCAAGCGUUCAAAAGAGUCAAAGCGAACAAAGGCACUCACGGGAUCGAUGGGAUGAAAGUAGAUGAA
rfam:Paenibacillus sp. Soil787 contig_5, whole genome shotgun sequence.